UACAGGGGGGGGCAAGCGUUGUCCGGAAUUACUGGGCGUAAAGGGCGCGCAGGCGGCCUGGCAAGUCGAGUGUGAAAUCCCUUGGCUUAACUGAGGAAUGGCGCUCGAAACUACCUCGCUGGAGGGCGGGAGAGGGAAGUGGAACUCUCGGUGUAGGGGUGAAAUGCGUAGAUAUUGGGAGGAACACCGAGUGGCGAAGGCGGCUACCUGGACCGGUUCUGGACGCUGAUGCGCGAAAGCGUGGGUAGCAAACAGG
rnacentral:rRNA from 1 species